UUUUCUUCCUUUUUGUUUUGUAGUGAACAAUGAGGACGUGGUUUUGCUUGCAUUGGAUUCUUGCACCGGUUUUUGGCAGCCAGUUAGUAAAAUUUAGGGUGUAUAUAUCCUUUUGUUAUGGGUAAAUUCUACCAAAUGAAAAUGCUGACACGCCAACGCGAAUGUUUUACUGAUCAGUCGAAAUGAGAGUUAAACGAACUUCAGGGAAAAAAUUUGGAAACUACAUCAGGAAAAAAUAGCUCAAUCGAUACAUUCUUGAGUGAUGGGAUGUUCAAAGAAAAUGGAUGAGAAACGAGUCACCAGGGGCGGAUCUAGUGGUGUGUCA
rnacentral:lncRNA from 1 species